rnacentral:rRNA from 1 species
UACGUAGGAUGCAAGCGUUGUCCGGCUUUAUUGGGUUUAAAGGGUGGUUCGGCGGCCUAUUAAGUUAGUGGUGAAAACGUUCGGCUUAACCGGAUACCCGCCAUUGAUACUGAUAGACUUGAGUGCGACAGAGGGUGUUGGAAUGUGUGGUGUAGCGGUGAAAUGCUUAGAUAUCACGCAGAACACCAAUUGCGAAGGCAGAUGCCUAUGUCGUAACUGACGCUGAGGCACGAAAGCGUGGGGAGCAAAUAGG